AUUGAACGCUGGCGGCAUGCUUUACACAUGCAAGUCGAACGGUAACAGGCCGCAAGGUGCUGACGAGUGGCGAACGGGCGAGUAAUGCAUCGGAACGUGCCCAGCCGUGGGGGAUAACUACUCGACAGAGUAGCUAAUACCGCAUACGAUCUAUGGAUGAAAGCGGGGGACGGUAAGGCCUCGCGCGAUUGGAGCGGCCGAUGUCAGAUUAGGUAGUUGGUGGGGUAAAGGCUCACCAAGCCAACGAUCUGUAGCUGGUCUGAGAGGACGACCAGCCACACUGGGACUGAGACACGGCCCAGACUCCUACGGGAGGCAGCAGUGGGGAAUUUUGGACAAUAGGCGCAAGCCUGAUCCAGCAAUGCCGCGUGCAGGAAGAAGGCCUUCGGGUUGUAAACUGCUUUUGUACGGAACGAAACGGCUCUGGUUAAUACCCGGGGCUAAUGACGGUACCGGAAGAAUAAGCACCGGCUAACUACGUG
rnacentral:rRNA from 1 species